CAAGAGCGUAUGUAAAAGUUGUUGCAGUUAAAAAGCUCGUAGUUGAACCUUGGGUUUGGUUGGCCGGUCCGCUUUUUUGCGAGUACUGGAUUCAACCGAGCCUUUCCUUCUGGCUAACCAGUCGUUUCGGCGGCUGGCGAACCAGGAUUUUUACUUUGAGAAAAUUAGAGUGUUCAAAGCAGGCAUUAGCUUGAAUAUAUUAGCAUGGAAUAAUAGAAUAGGACGUUAUGGUUCUAUUUUGUUGGUUUCUAGGACCAUCGUAAUGAUUAAUAGGGACGGUCGGGGGCAUCAGUACUCAGUUGUCAGAGGUGAAAUUCUUGGAUUUACUGAAGACUAACUACUGCGAAAGCAUUUGCCAAGGACGUUUUCAUUAA
rnacentral:rRNA from 1 species